rnacentral:misc_RNA from 1 species
UUGUGGAGGAGGACGCCGAAGGUGGGGCUAAUGACUGGGGUGAAGUCGUAACAAGGUAGCCGUACCGGAAGGUGCGGCUGGAUCACCCCCUAACAGGGAGACAACAAAAUGUAAAUAUUAAUUUUGUCACCUUAGGUCGAUCGGUAUCUCAGAUUCUUUUUUUUAAGAAUUUCAGUUUCUAAGUUUUUUCUAGGUCACACCCAUCACUUUUUCCUGGGCCAUUAGCUCAGGUGGUUAGAGCGCACCCCUGAUAAGGGUGAGGUCCCUGGUUCAAGUCCAGGAUGGCCCAUAUCUCUAUGUUGGGGGUAUAGCUCAGUUGGUAGAGCGCCUGCUUUGCAAGCAGGAUGUCAGCGGUUCGAGUCCGCUUACCUCCACUGAAUACCACCUCUUACAUUUUGUUAAUGAGGGAAAUUGUUUUGAGUCGUGCCUUUUUUGCUCUGAGUGAAUCUAGCUUCCUAUUUUUUUUAAUUAAUAAGAUGCUGGACUCAUUGAAUUAUUAUUCAUUGUUUUCAGAGAACCUUGACAACUGCAUAGAUUAUUUUUGAAGACAAUAAGCAUCUUUAAUGAUGCAGAUUUAUUAUUUGUGCUAAUGCAUUAAAUAACAAUUCUAUUAAGCUGAUGCUUCAAUAUAUUUGAAGUUAUUGGUCAAGCUACAA